rnacentral:lncRNA from 1 species
UCGGCAGCCUGGUUUCUCCUAUCCGUAGCCUUCCAUUGUGCCAAGAAUAAUGUUCCAAAACUCUGAAACGAGAGAGCCCUCCAAAGUUGGCAGCCAAAAAUUCCUUUUAAACAAAAGUGACGGCUAGAAUAUUUUGCAAGGGUCGUGUGUCACUCCAAAUAAGGGUGGGGUCCACCCUAAAACCCUAGGGUAGGACAUGUGUCUCACAAAGUUGGGCUUCUACAAAAUUGCCACUAUGGCCCAUGAUGGAAAGAGUUUGUCUAAAAAGUUCUAACAAUUAAAAUUACAAUACAAUUAAAAUUUAAAAUGUCUAAAUGGAGAGUCUUGAAUUUAUUUUGUCUCCUNCAAAUGUCCC